rnacentral:rRNA from 1 species
CAUACCUAUUCGAAGGGAUAGGGUCGGUUCGGCCGGGUUUCACACAGGUGUUGCAUGGCUGUCGUCAGCUCGUGUCGUGAGAUGUUGGGUUAAGUCCCGCAACGAGCGCAACCCUCAUCCUUAGUUACCAUCAGGUAAUGCUGGGGACUUUGAGGAAACUGCCAGUGAUAAACUGGAGGAAGGUGGGGAUGAUGUCAAGUCAUCAUGGCCCUUAUGGAGUGGGCUACACACGCGCUACAAUGGUGGCUACAAUGGGCUGCAAAGUCGCGAGGCUAAGCCAAUCCCUUAAAAGCCAUCCCAGUUCGGAUUGUACUCUGCAACUCGAGUGCAUGAAGUUGGAAUCGCUAGUAAUCGUGGAUCAGCAUGCCACGGUGAAUACGUUCUCGGGUCUUGUACACACUGCCCGUCACGCCAUGGGAAUUGGUUUCACUCGAAGCU